GCUAAAACAGUCAGGAGGUUGGCUUAGAAGCAGCCACCCUUUAAAGAAAGCGUAAUAGCUCACUGAUCGAGUCGUCCUGCGCGGAAGAUGUAACGGGGCUAAGCUAUAUACCGAAGCUGCGGAUGCGAGCUUGCUCGCAUGGUAGGAGAGCGUUCCGUAAGCCUGCGAAGGUGCCUUGUAAAGGGUGCUGGAGGUAUCGGAAGUGCGAAUGCUGACAUGAGUAGCGAUAAAGGGGGUGAAAGGCCCCCUCGCCGUAAGCCCA
rnacentral:rRNA from 1 species